CGGUGCCCUCCUAUGGUCUUCAGAGCCCUGCAUUAACUCCCCAGCUAAGCAUGAGACCGUUAUACAAACAAAUAUGCCAACUCUUGACUGUACCUACUGCCUACUGACAGCUUUUAUUUUUCCUCUAAAAUACUUUUUUCAUCUUAAAAUUAUGAGAGAUCACAUUUUAAAAAUUAAUUUCCUGCUUCUCUUGAAGAAAGCUGUGGUAUUCCCUUCACUCUAGGCCCUGCUCCUUUACCCCAUAGUACCUCCCUGGGAACGGUGGACACCUAUCAUUUUAGGAGGACGGCCCCCGGACCACCUCAUCAGACUUCCAUGCUCAUAUGUGUCUCCUGGCUGGCACUGGAGGCUUUGGGGACAGACAGCCCACACAUCCUGGCCUUUUAUGGCAGCAGGUAAUGAGAGGCAUAGGGACAUGAAGGAGGGCCUGAUUUCCUCAUGUCUUUUAUUUCUCAUUCUCUUAUGUCCCUCAUCCUCCCUCCCUGCUCCUCACGCCCCACUCCUGUGCCCUAUAUUACUGCAUGUGCCAUUUUAUUCUGGCCCAGCACCAACCUCCCCAUCCGUGCCUCAUUCCUUGGGGGUAGAGCGGUGUGAUGCCUUAGAGUCAGGCCUGGUUUCAGUUUCCUGUCCACUUUCUGCCCUCACACUUUCUUCAGCCUCUUAUACAUAAGAUAGAGGCCAAAAAAAAAAAAAUGCAGGGUAUCUGUGAGGGUUGGCUUGACAUUACCUAGCCCAUUGAUAGCCAAGGACAUUUGCACUUGCCUCAGGGAGGAGAUAAGCGAGUCUAUUGUCUCUCCUGCAGACCUGAGGGAAACCCUGUCUGUCCUUACCCAGGUUCCAGCUUCUGUACCCAGACUGCCCCUCAGAGAAGCCCAUGUGUCUUAGUCACCAUUCUGCUGCUGUGAAGAGACACCAUAAGCAUGGCAACUCUUAUGAGAAAAAACAUUUAAUUGGGGCUGGCUUACAGUUUCAAAAGUUUAGUCCAUUAUCAUCGCGGUAGAGAGUGUGGUGGCAGGUAAGCGUGGUGCUGGAGCAGUAACUAAGAGCUACAUCCUGGUUGGUAGGCUCAGAGUUCUACAUGCAGAUACACAGGCAGCAGGAGGAGAUGCUGGCCUGGGAUGGGCUUUAGAGACCUCAAAGCCCACCCCAGUGACACACUUUCAACAAGACCACACCUCCUAAUCUUUUGCAAGUAGUGCCACUCCCUGAUAAUUAAGCAUUGAAAUAUAGGAAACUAUGGGGGCCUUUGUAAUUCAAACCACACCAUACUUCUGACUCCUUGUUUCUUUGUGGACACAGGUUUUCUCUGUGUAGCCCUGACUAGCCAAGAACUCUGAGACCAGGCUGUCCUUGAACUCAGAAAUAUGUCUGCCUCUGCCUCCUGAAAGUAUUGGGAUUAAAGACAUGCACCACCACCAUCUGGCUGCCUCUGACUGAGAGCAAAAACCUCCUUGCACGACCAGUUUCAUCAGGCUGAUGGAGGUUGGUCAGGUCAGCCCCAGAGCCAUUCCCAGGUGAGGGAAUCUGGACUGUAUGGAGGAAGCAAGCUGAGCAUUGGCUCGCACACACUGCUUCCUGACAGUGGACGUGAUAUGACCAGCUGCUCCCAGCUCCUGCCCUGAUGUCCCCAUGGUACUUUGAACUGUGAACCAAAAUGAACCCCUUCUCCCUUAAGUUGCUUUUGCCAGAGUCCUACCUCAUUUCCAAAUAUAGUUACCCACCUACAGACCCCAGUAGACACCUGACAGCAUGACCUUCUAUAUAGCCAGGCCUAGAGGCACCAACCUGUUAUUCAGAAGCCAGAGGAGGCAAGAGGAUCAGCAUUUCAAAGUCUGCCUGGCCUACUUGGUGACAGCCUUCUCGAAACACAAAGUGAAAAGGGCUCUAAGUAUCUUAGUGGUUGAGCGCUCACCUAACAUGAAGGCUCUUGGUUCUGUCCCUCAGUGCAACACGAAGACACACACACACACACACACACAAAACCAAACCUAUGAAUUGUUUAUUUCUGCAAUUUUCUACUUAUUGUUGGAUUGCUGUUGACCACAGGUCAAUGAAACCACAGUGACAAUGUAAGCACAGGGAACUGGGAAGUAAAAUGUCAGUUAAGAGAAGGCACGGAAGCCACUUGAACAGGUACCAUAGUUAGCCUUGCAUAGACUCUCAAUGUUUCCCUCUGCAGAAUGGGUCCAGCGCACCUGACUCACCAUGCCAGUGAGGAUUACAUGGGUAACAGUACACACGCUGACCUCGGUGCCUGCCAUGUAAGUGCUCAGCAAGGUGGCUGAAGAGGCCAGAAGAGGGUGCCAGAUUCACUGACUCUCCCUACUACCCACCCAGCUCUCCACACACCAGAAUUGUUUCUAGGCUGCACCUUCAGUACAGCAUGUCACCUGAGUGCUCACCAAGCAGGGGUUUUGGCCAUUCUCAGCCAGCCAUCCUGAGGCAGGAGCAACCGCGAUCAGGUGGAGAGAACCUGACACUGUGGCAGGGGCUUUGGGAAGACCCGCAGCUGGCAAAGGACCGUUCCUGCUUGAAGCCUGCACUAUCCUGCUCAAGCCUGUGUGUGCGACCUCCUGUCUUGUCAGCUACCAGACAUCCUGAGCAUCGCUCUGAAGCCAGUCUCUGGGGACUGAGCACCAGCCUACUGCAAGAGACAUGGGCGGCAUUCAGAGCAGCAGUGUAGGCCCUCCAGGGUUUUGUGCACACCGUUCUCCUGGGACUUCGGGUGGACAGGACAAAGCAUAAACGAUUCCUGGCCUGAGGUACAUUGUCCAUGAUGGCCAGCCUCACCAAUCUGCAGUGCCUCAGUUUCCCACACCCCGAGCUUAACCUCCACAUGGCCUUCCUGUCACUGGUGCCUUCUCCUCUUCCAGCUAAUUCUCUUCCAGGUCUUAAGUCCCGUAUCUCAUGGAAGCCCAGCCCUGUACCAUCUGGGUUUAACUCCAAGUAAUCACAUCUGUGAAUCUGCAUUUUUUUUCUUCAGAGCUUAUGCAGCACCAUUGAAGGUGCCUGUGAGGCUCGUGCCCCCCUCAGCUGUACAGGGGCUUGCCCUUGCCCCUGCCUUCUAGCUGGGUUUGAUGCACCGUAGACAGAACAUUCACUAAACAGCGAGGGUUAGGGUGCUGGGAGGAGUGAGUGCCACGGGAAGGAAGAAACUGAGGAAUGACUGCCUUGACGCUUGCCAGGCCUUUCCCCAUUUAGGAAUUGCUCAGCUCUUGUAGGAAUUUCACAGGCUGGUGGAAUCCUCCAGCGGUGGAAUCAGCCCAGUGCCCCAGGCCCUGGCAGUGUCUCCCUCAUCCAAACUCUUCUGCUCUUCCUACAGGUCCCGCAGAGCAGAACUCCACAGCUUCCCUUCCAUUUGAGUGGUCGCAGUGACUUCCUUAUGUUCUUUGUGGUUAGGGAAGUUCUGCAAUCCUGGCUCCUACGUUGCACACGCUGUUUGGCCUCUCACUCUCCUCAGGAAAGACCCUCCCUUUGAAGCAUGUCCUGUUCCACAGCACUGGGGGUGAAGACUACGUGUGGGAAACUUCGAUUUGAGGAGAAGGGAAGACACACUGAGAAACACAACACCCUCCAGUGGGUUCCCACAGAGCGUCUGAGACCAAGAUGGUGCCAAGCAACCGCUGCUCAGGGAAAUGAGAUGGUGACAUUGUAUCUUCCCCCGGCUGGAUGUGAGGACAUCAGUGACAUGCUAGCAGCGGGAGACCUCAUCCUGGUCCUUCACAUCACACAAUAACAAUAGGAUGAUCACCUGUGGUCGGUUAGAAUGAAGACAAGUCUUCAGGGGACAUGGCUGUCACAGCCUAUUGUGAAUGAAGAAGAAAUACAAAGCUUGGGUGUAAGCUGGCUGCUUCCAGCAACACAGAAUGCCUGAAGUAGUUAAGAGCUCUGGAUUUUUCUUAAAAAAAUAGAUUUUAAAAAGCAGGUUGGGGAAAUAGCUUUAUUGAGUUAUAAUUCAUACACAUAAACUGUCCAUACUUAAAGUGGACAGCUUGAUCAAUUUUGACAUGUUUUAUACAAUUGCUCCUCAAUACCCAUGGAGUUUUAAUUCCAAAAUCCUCUGUGGAUACCCAAAUCUAUAGGUGCUCAGGUCCCCUGUAUAAGUGGGGAAAUAUUUACAUAUGAACUAUGAAUAGCCAGCCUCCUGUAUACUUUAAACAAUAAUACAAAUGCUACAGAAACAAUGGUAAACUAUUGUCUAGGAAGGAAUGGCAUUGAAAAUCUACAUGUUGGGACAGAUAUAAUUGAAUUAUUAAAAGCUGUACACAUAGGGAUUCCAUUAUUACAUUUCCACACAUACAUAUAAUGUCCUCUGAUCAUACUUACCCUCCCUACUUCCCUUUCUUAUUCCCCAUCCCCCCACCUUUCCACAUCCCUAAAUGCUUUUACUGUCAUGUCCUAGUAUUGCGCCCACCUAGAUUCCACAUUAGACAGCAAACAUCUGAAACUUGUCUGUCUGCAUCUGAGUUAUUUCAUUAACGAUGAUGAUCUCCAGCUCCAACCCUUUUCCUGCAAACAACAUAAUUCCAUUCUCUUUUAUGAUCGCAUAAAACUUCAUUGUGUAUAUAUAACACAUUUUCUUUGUCUGUUCUUCUAUUGGUGGGCACCUAGGCAGAUUCUACAUUCUGGCUAUUGUGGAUAGUGCUAUCAUGGACAUGAAUAUGCUGCUGUUCCUAUAGUAAACUGAUGUUGCUUCCUUGGGACAUAAACACAGGGGUAAUACAGCUGGAAUAUGGAUCAUACACUGCGGCUGGACUAAUUUACAUGUUCACCUGCAGCCGGGGCUCCUUUUCACCCAGUUCCUCAUCAGCGUUUGUUGUUUGUUCACUCUUUCUGCUUCCUUCCUUCCUUCCUUCCUUCCUUCCUUCCUUCCUUCCUUCCUUCCUCUCUUCUUUCAUUUCUUCCUUCCUUCUUCCCUUCCUUUUUUAUAAUAGCCAUCCUGACUCAGGAGAGAUGGAAUUAGUUUUUAAUCACAUUUAAUUAUUUUAUUUUAGUAUGUGUGUAAUUUGCCUGCAUGUAUGUCUGUGCAUCACAUACAUGCUUGGUGUCCAAGGAGGCCUGCAGGGGGCAUUGGAUCCCCUAGAACUGGAGUGAUAAAUGAAUUUGAGCUACCAAGUGUUGGGAAUUGAACCCAGGUCCUCUGGAAGAGCAGCCAGUGUGCUCUUACCUGCUGUGCCAUCUCUCCACCUGAUCUUAAUGCAUUUUAUGUACAUUUCACUGACAGCUAAGAUUUUGAUAUAUAUUUAUUAACUUUUCUUUCAGUGAGAUAAAGUCUCACUAUGUAGCCCGGGCUGGCCUUGACUUCCUUCAGUAGAUCAGGUUGGCCUCGGACUCACAGGGAUCUUCCUGCCUCUGAUCCUCAACAUCUGGAAUUAGAGGUAUGAGCAAACACAUCUGGCUAUUUCAAUUUUUAAAGAAACAUUUAGUGGAG